CGUAGUUCAUGUAUUGAUGGAGGCGUGGAGCCUGGAUGGGCAUGUGGCCUUGUUGGGCACAUGGACUUAUGAGCACGUGGCUCUGUAGGUGAUAGGAAUCAUCUGUUCUAGGGGGCGCAUGGCCGGAACAGAUAGUGGAGUAGUCGAUAUGCUGCAGGGAGCAUGGAGCUUCGAUAUGCUUUGAUGAGCAUGGAGUGUCCCUGUCGGUGAGCUGGAGAUCGUGGCCUGGGCCAGUAUGUGGAGUGUAGGCUUGCUGCAGAGAGCAUAGGACGUCAUCUUCAUGGUAGUAAUCGCCGGGAUCAGCCUGUCAUAGACCUCUCGUAGGAGAAGGUCUUCUCGGGGUGAAAUAUAGCCUUGGCGGCUGUCAAAUUCGUGAGCUCUGGAGAUGGAUGUUUUCUCUCAUAGAUGGACGUGGUCCCCCCUUCUUUAGGUUUAGAAACCUAUUUUUAUAGUGGAAGUCGUGCCUUUCUCUUAGGGUUUGGAAAUAUUCCAUAUAUCCUUAGAUAAUAGAAUAUUUCCAUUCUUCUCAAGGGCGGCUUAUCAUAUUAGAAUACUUCCUCUUUCUCUUGGAUUUAGGAAGAUUCCUUCUUCUCUAAGUUGGUUACCUGAUAAAUGGAAGAUUUCCAUUUAUCUUAAGGCAGGAGAAAGCACUUGGCCUGGAAGACGAAGGAAGGUCCUAGACUCGGGGACAAGGACCCGUGACCGGAGGCAGGACCCAGACCUGGGGGCAGGGACCCAGGACCCAGAGGCAGGAACCCGGACCUGGGGGCAGGGACCCAGGACCCAGAGGCAGGAACCCGGACCCUGGGGGCAGGGACCUAGAAGACGGAAGAUGGAGUAAUCUCUUCAUGGAAUAUUUUUCCCCAACAGUUUGCCCCUUAUUUUCUGGCUUCAUGUUUGAAGGCAGGAAAUAGCAUGACUUUCUUCAUAAGACUUUAUAAGUUACACUGUAGUAUCACGCUGCCUUGUCGGUCAUUCUCAAAUGCACUUGCGCUCGGUGUAAAAGGAUUUGCAGUCUGGUUGGAGAUGUAUGACCUUUGAUUUGGAUGACUUGUAAGACUUUCUUCUUCUGCUUUAUAAAGAUGAGACGUUGCCCCCAUGGUGGGGAUAGGCCGGAGUUGGCCGAAAGUUUGAUGGAGAAGCCGGGAACAUCGCCCUAAAGGGUGAUGCUUCUGAUCAUACCUGAGGUGCUUGUGCGGCUUCUGUAGCUAUACUCGGCCUCAGCUUAGGCAGGGCUCUCUGGUUCCACGAAUCGUGUUGAGGAGUGUAUUGGUCAGUACCCAGGAAUUCUGAGAGGGAGAAUCUUGGCGAGGCUAAGGAUCAGGAGGACGAAGAGGUUGAAUAAGACACGGAGGCCGAAACUGAGGAUCCUCAUGCUUGAUUCAAUUGGCCUUAAUUGUGCCUCUCGAGCUUGUAAAGGCUGUAAUGGACUUUCGGGAGGGUCUCCAUGCCGGUCUCCUUGUUGCGUUUAGCAUACUUGAUGCUCUUUGACGUGUUGAUGUUGUAGCUGUAGCUUCUUGCCUCGUCUCAGGAGUGUACCUUGACUUUUGGUAGGUGGGACGUUCAGCAUGUUUGUCUUGGUGCCUGGAGAUAACCUAGUUGAUUCUUGGUACCAGAGUAGAUCUCUUGGACUUGUUGUUUGCGGCGAGCAGUAAUUUCCACGCCGACUAAGGAAGGUGGAGAUACUAGUUGAACUCUGCCAUUGAUUCUUCGCCACUCUCAAUUAUGUAGUACUGCAAUCUGCCCCCGGAAGUAAACCACAAUCAAUGCUGGGAUAACCUUGCAUUGUGCUCUCAUGGAAUCUGGAGGAUCCUGGGCAUGCUCUCCCAAAAUUUGAAGGUUGAGAGGUACAUUCUUCUGAAACCCAUAGGUUCGGGGACGUGAUUCUUCUUAAACUGGAGGUUUGUGGGAACCGAAAUUCGCACUGUCGAUUUUUCGUUUAAAUUAGGAAAGUUAGGAAAACCCUAAUUUCCCAGAGGUUCCCGGAUAUCUGCUAAACCACACGCCAAGCAAUCAGAACACGCAAGUAAAGGCGAAAGGAAAUAAGAAAUCAUAAAAGAGAGCAAAAGGAGUUUUAUUCCGAAUUCGCGUAUGAGCUUUACAACAAGGUAGAAGCCUCGCUAUGAGAGCUAUUGGCGAGAUUCCUAGUUCUAACAACCUAAGACUUCAAAACCUAGUUGAGUCGCAGCUCGAAAUAACAAAAACGAAAAGUUGCCUAAUUGCUCUAAGUGCUAAGUUUGCACUACAAGAAAUAUGAGUAUUAGUAGCAGUUCGCGGUAGCACGAAUUCACGAACUGCCACCGAAAGUCCCAAAAUCUUAGCACUACUCUAUUAUAGCACUAAAUUUGCGUUAAGAUAAAAUUUCAUUAAGCGGGAAAGCAAAAAUCAUUAUAGGUGAAAAAAUAUUUUGGAGCCAACACUUGGUCAAUUUUGGGUUUCCUUUACAUUUUUGUGUUAAAAAAAAAUAGGUUUCUUAUCUCUUUGAUAAAAAAAAAAAAACUUUCUUAUCUCUAGUCGUCUCUGUCCCUCUCGAGUCUCAUCUCUGCGUUUCCCCCUUUACUCCAUCUCGAGCUCCACCACUCUGUGGUCUCCACUCACCCACAAUCGAACAAGGUGGCGCCUCUUGUCCACUCUCGAGCCUCACCGCCGUGCUAUUCUCAUCAAUCCACCGUGCUCUGCUUCACACCGCAACAGUCUGGCCGUCGUCGCCACGUCGGAGCUCUCAUCCAUCGCAAUCCAUCACUGUGUCCGUGACCAAACGACACCACGAUAGCACCUGCUCCAAAUCAAGCUUCUCUGGCGCGUUCUUGCUUCAACGGAAUCAUGCCUCACCGUCGGAAUCAAAGUGGAGAAGAGAAACAAUGGCGUUUCGACAAAAGGUUUGGCUUUUUCAAACCUUUUCAAAAGAGCUUUGAGAUGUCUCGUUUUCGAAAAUCGAUUUGUGGUUCUUGUUGUCUCUAUACGUUUUCAAUCAAUCAUUAUAGGACUCAUACAACUUCGAAAUCGAUUCUGGGUUAAGUCUCUGCGUUUUUGUUCCUUCUUUUACUCUGUCUCUUUGCGUGAAUCUAUGAGUGACUGUGAAAUCUUAGAGUAGCACUGCCUCUGUUUCCUUUCAUUUCUCUGCGUGAAUCUAUGAAUUAUAUCGUCAAGUUUCUGUUCAAGAACCGGAUUAAAUAACCCACUUGCUUACAGGUGCUGCUACCAAGUAGUGGGCAUUGGAAGAUGGUACUAACUCUGUCGCUAUGGCUAAGAGAAGUAGGUACAUAUAUAUGUGUUAUCUUUGCUCGUUUCUCUUUAUUGAGUGAGUUCCUGAUUUUUCAUUGCUGAAACUACAGUGAGAGCCAACUUUGAGUUUUUGAAGAAACUUGGAGUUGAUUGGUGGUGUUUCUACACCUGAGGUGCAGGUGGAGUUCUUCUUGUUUACGACAUCAGCAGACAGCAGACUUUUCAGAGCAUUGGUAGAUGGCUGAACGAGCUGCACACACACUCGGACAUGAACGUUGUGACGUUCUUCGUUCAUUCGUUACGAAUUGGAGUUGAUUGGUGGUGUUGUGUUUUACUUGUCUCUUGACAGGUGGUGUUGCGGAAACGCCUUGCCCAUAUCAAAAGAGAAGUUGAUAAAAAGAUGGUGGAGAAGAGAAGUUGGUUUCUUGUGUUCUUCUGUGUCAAGCUUUGAUCUGAGUUAAGUGAGAUUCGGUUUGGAUUAGAUGGUGAAGGAAACAGAGUAAUAUGAUGUGCUCGGCGUUAGCCCAAGUGCUACUGAGUCUGAGAUCAAGACUCAGUUUGUUUAUGACUAGAUUUGAUGGUUAUAUGUUCUUUUAUGGAGUUCGUGUGUUUCAUGUAUUGAUUUUGUAUGUUUUGAUUCUUUGAUGGAAAAACAUGUGGUAUUAUAUGAUUUAUUUGUGUUUUAUUAGAGUAAAUUAUAUUUAUUAA